rnacentral:rRNA from 1 species
UACGUAGGGUGCGAGCAUUAAUCGGAUUUAUUGGGCGUAAAGGGCGCGUAGGCGGAGAUAAAAGUCGUAUGUGAAAUCCCGGGGCUCAACCUCGGAACGGCAUAUGAAACUCUAUCUCUAGAGGGUAGGCGGAGAAAAUGGAAUUCCACAAGUAGCGGUGAAAUGCGUAGAUAUGUGGAAGAACACCAGUGGCGAAGGCGGUUUUCUAGCUUAUACCUGACGCUGAUGCGCGAAAGCAAGGGGAUCAAACAGG